CCAGACUCCUACGGGAGGCAGCAGUGGGGGAUAUUGCACAAUGGGGGGAACCCUGAUGCAGCGACGCCGCGUGGGUGAAGAAGCGCCUCGGCGCGUAAAGCCCUGUCAGCAGGGAAGAAAAUGACGGUACCUGAAGGAGAAGCCCCGGCUAACUACGUGCCAGCAGCCGCGGUAAUACGUAGGGGGCAAGCGUUAUCCGGAUUUACUGGGUGUAAAGGGCGUGUAGCCGGGCUGACAAGUCAGAUGUGAAAUUCCGGGGCUCAACCCCGGACCUGCAUUUGAAACUGUUGGUCUUGAGUAUCGGAGAGGCAGGCGGAAUUCCUAGUGUAGCGGUGAAAUGCGUAGAUAUUAGGAGGAACACCAGUGGCGAAGGCGGCCUGCUGGACGACAACUGACGGUGAGGCGCGAAAGCGUGGGGAGCAAACAGGAUUAGAUACCCGUGAAGC
rnacentral:rRNA from 1 species